CGGAGAGUGUGAUGAAUUAAAAGUCAUCUUUAAACAUUUAGUAUAAAGUAGACAAUCUAAAAUUAGAAAUAUGUUAUUUUUUAGCUCACUACGAAUAUCAUGGUUUUGUAAAUAAUAAAUCAUGACUCCUUGUAAAAAGGAGAACUUCAGCUAUCAUGCAAUAUCAGUCACUAGUCAAUAUUCAUUGCAAAUAAGACAAAAUGUUUUGGAG